rnacentral:rRNA from 1 species
GGAGGGCAUCUGAUGAGGAACAAAGAUCCGUCGCUUGCGGAGUGGGGAUGCGUCUGAUUUAGUUAGUCGGCGGGGUAACGGCCCACCGAGACGACGAUCAGGUAGGGUUCUGAGAGGAAAGUCCCCCACAUUGGAACUGAGACACGGUCCAAACUCCUACGGGAGGCAGCAGUGAGGAAUAUUGGUCAAUGGGCGGAAGCCUGAACCAGCCAAGUAGCGUGCAGGACGACGGCCCUAUGGGUUGUAAACUGCUUUUAUGCGGGGAUAAAGUGGGCCACGCGUGGCCUUUUGCAGGUACCGCAUGAAUAAGGACCGGCUAAUUCCGUG